rnacentral:rRNA from 1 species
GAUGAACGCUGGCGGCGUGCCUAACACAUGCAAGUCGAGCGUGAUUUAUGAGGACGAAACUUCGGUAAAGAGCGGCGGACGGGUGAGUAACGCGUGGGUAACCUGCCCUAUACACACGGAUAACAUACCGAAAGGUAUGCUAAUACGAGAUAAUAUAAGAGAUUCGCAUGGAUUUCUUAUCAAAGCUGAGGCGGUAUAGGAUGGACCCGCGUCUGAUUAGCUAGUUGGUAAGGUAACGGCUUACCAAGGCGACGAUCAGUAGCCGACCUGAGAGGGUGAUCGGCCACAUUGGAACUGAGACACGGUCCAAACUCCUACGGGAGGCAGCAGUGGGGAAUAUUGCACAAUGGGCGAAAGCCUGAUGCAGCAACGCCGCGUGAGUGAUGAAGGCCUUCGGGUCGUAAAACUCUGUCCUCAAGGAAGAUAAUGACGGUACUUGAGGAGGAAGCCCCGGCUAACUACGUGCCAGCAGCCGCAGUAAUAC